AUUGAACGCUGGCGGCAUGCCUUACACAUGCAAGUCGAACGGUAACAGGCUAAGCUGACGAGUGGCGAACGGGUGAGUAAUAUAUCGGAACGUGCCCAGUCGUGGGGGAUAACGUAGUGAAAAUUACGCUAAUACCGCAUACGAUCUAUGGAUGAAAGCGGGGGAUCGCAAGACCUCGCGCGAUUGGAGCGGCCGAUAUCAGAUUAGGUAGUUGGUGGGGUAAAGGCCCACCAAGCCAACGAUCUGUAGCUGGUCUGAGAGGACGACCAGCCACACUGGAACUGAGACACGGUCCAGACUCCUACGGGAGGCAGCAGUGGGGAAUUUUGGACAAUGGGCGAAAGCCUGAUCCAGCCAUUCCGCGUGCAGGAUGAAGGCCCUCGGGUUGUAAACUGCUUUUGUACAGAACGAAAAGGUUUCUACUAAUACUAGGAGCUCAUGACGGUACUGUAAGAAUAAGCACCGGCUAACUACGUGCCAGCCGCCGCCGUAA
rnacentral:rRNA from 1 species